rnacentral:tRNA from 1 species
UCCUCAGUAGCUCAGCGGUAGAGCGAUUGGCUGUUAACUAAAAGGUCGUAGGUUCGAAUCCUACCUGGGGAU